GGGGCAGUUUGAGAGAAAUGGGUAAGAAGCAGCUUCGAUUGGUCUCGUUGUUUUUUACAACUGUCAUACUAUUUGUACCAGCUGUUAUAAGUAUGUUUGUAUUUGAAGCAGAGGGGGAUAGUAUUUCUAUACACAAUCUUGGUUGGCCUUUAGUGAACACAGUAGUGUUUGGUGUGCUAUUGAGUGAGAAUUUUACUGCUGAGAAACCAGUUUCUU
rnacentral:misc_RNA from 1 species